rnacentral:rRNA from 1 species
CACGUAGGGCGCAAGCGUUGUCCGGAAUUAUUGGGCGUAAAGAGCUCGUAGGCGGUCUGUUGCGUCCGCUGUGAAAACUCGGGGCUUAACCCCGAGCCUGCAGUGGAUACGGGCAGACUAGAGGUAGGUAGGGGAGAAUGGAAUUCCCGGUGUAGCGGUGAAAUGCGCAGAUAUCGGGAGGAGCACCGGUGGCGAAGGCGGUUCUCUGGGCCUUACCUGACGCUGAGACGCGAAAGCGUGGGGAGCAAACAGG